rnacentral:misc_RNA from 1 species
AACUUUUAGCAACGGAUCACUUGUUUCUGGCAUCGAUGAAGAACGCAGCGAAAUGCGAUAAGUAAUGUGAAUUGCAGAAUUCCGUGAAUCAUCGAAUCUUUGAACGCACAUUGCGCCCGCCAGUAUUCUGGCGGGCAUGCCUGUCCGAGCGUCAUUUCAACCCUCAAGCCCCCGGGCUUGGUGUUGGGGCUCGGCCCGUCCCUCGCGGACGCGCCGUCCCCGAAAUCCAGUGGCGGCCUCGCUGCAACUCCUCUGCGUAGUAGCUAACACCUCGCAACGGGAACGCAGCGCAGUCCACGCCGUUAAACCCCCCACUUCUGAAAGGUUGACCUCGGAUCAGGUAGGAAUACCCGCUGAACUUAAGCAUAUCAAUAAGCGGAGGCU